UACGUAGGGGGCAAGCGUUGUCCGGAAUCAUUGGGCGUAAAGCGCGCGUAGGCGGCCCGGUAAGUCCGCUGUAAAAGUCCAGGGCUCAACCCUGGAAAGCCGGUGGAUACUGUCGGGCUAGAGUCCGGAAGAGGCGAGUGGAAUUCCUGGUGUAGCGGUGGAAUGCGCAGAUAUCAGGAGGAACACCGAUGGCGAAGGCAGCUCGCUGGGACGGUACUGACGCUGAUGCGCGAAAGCCAGGGGAGCGAACGGG
rnacentral:rRNA from 1 species